rnacentral:lncRNA from 1 species
CUUUGACCAGGGCCCAGCCACAGAGGGAGGCGGCAGUACUUGCUGAGCCGGGCCUAGAUAACAUCAUCUCCCGGUCUCCCAGUGAGAAGGCUGAGGCGGCUCCUCCCUCCUCGUAACCGAGACAAAACUGCGCCCUUGUCUCUUCCCGGUCUCUCAGAUGGAAGCCUUUGUCGCCAUUGUCUCUGUCACCCAGCAGAGCAUCAGAUGUGCAGCAGAUGCGUAGAAAAACUCCCCAGAGCACAUCCAGGGCACACCCUACGUCUGAGACACCCACGUCCCUUUUCAUGCCUCUUGCUUGAGACCUCGCUGUGCAGCCUGGGCAGACAAGGAGUGGAGUGGGGAUUGCUGUGGGUUCCGCCUGUUGACGAUGAGGCACAGAUUUGGUCUCCAAGGCUUCAGCCCCGCAUAGAGCUGCUCCUUGCCUUCGUGAGCUGCGUCCUCUGUGCUGCUUGGGAGGAUGAUUGAUCCAGUGCUGCACCGAUGCUGAGUCUCUUCACUUCUGCUUCUCUAGAUCCCCGUGAAAAAUGAUUCUCUAAAAGCCAGAUGUGCUGGGUCACUUGCACGGGUACCAAGAGAUGGAGAAAAGAAACCCAAGUCCAACUUCUCAUGUCCGCGUGUGAGCUGGGGCCCUUGGAAUUAAAUCCAUUUGUCUUCCCAUGCCAUGAGCUGCAUGCCAUGCGCCUGGCACAUUUGCUGGUGGAUUUAGAGCUUCAUUGCAGGCAUGAGGCUCCUACAGCUCCUGUCUGGCCCCCAGCCCAAGCUCUCUCCACUGCCCCCAGCUUUUCCAGAGUGAAAAAGGUUACACUGGACUCCACGUUAGAGGAGGAAGCUGAUAAAAGCAGCCCCAAGUUAGAAGCUGGCGCCCUCCUAGCAGCAUCAUGGGUGUUACAGGAAGCCAGGUUGCCAUCCCACCAUGGAAAAGCAGCUCUCCUCGUGGCAACACAUUCUGCUUUGCAUCCCUGCUUGGUGACAUGGGUGAGGCUGGGCCACAUGCUGGAACCUGGUGGGACAGGCCGGGGAGGAGGACGGUGCGGCCUCCUUGGACUCAUGCUUCUUGUUUGGAAACUGGGGACAUGAAUAUUCACGACUCCUGCCCUGUUGGGCUAUCAGGAGAUCCAGCACUGUGUACAUGGAAGGAUUUGAAGACUAAACUUCUGUGAAGGAAACAGAGCAGCGUGGCACUUGGAAGAUCAAACCCUGGGAAACCGAGGACAAACACCUGGCAGAGCCUAGCACUGCAACGGUGAUUUCUCUGCAGGUCUCAACUUGACUUCUGCCUCAAAGCUGUGUGGUUUAGGUCCACUCUUUCCCAUCGGCCCUUCUCUUCUGGGGACACUUAUCAAAGCAAAAAUCCCCCUCAUCCAUCCCUCCCUCCCUUCCUUCUUUUCUUCUACUUUCUUAUCAUAUAUUAAACAUAUACCAUUGUCUCCCAGUUAC